rnacentral:rRNA from 1 species
AUUGAACGCUGGCGGUAUGCUUAACACAUGCAAGUCGAACGGAUGUAGCAAUAUAUUAGUGGCGGACGGGUGCGUAACGCGUAGGAAUCUGCCUAUUCGUGGGGGAUAACGUGGGGAAACUCACGCUAAUACCGCAUACACUCUAAGGAGGAAAGCGGGGGAUCGUAAGACCUCGUGCUAAUAGAUGAGCCUGCGUCCGAUUAGCUAGUUGGUGGGGUAAGAGCCUACCAAGGCGACGAUCGGUAGCUGGUCUGAGAGGAUGAUCAGCCACACUGGGACUGAGACACGGCCCAGACUCCUACGGGAGGCAGCAGUGGGGAAUAUUGGACAAUGGGCGAAAGCCUGAUCCAGCAAUACCGCGUGUGUGAAGAAGGCCUGAGGGUUGUAAAGCACUUUUAAUCGGGAGGAAUACCUAAUAGUUAAUACCUAUUAGAAUGACAUUACCGAUAGAAAAAGCACCGGCUAACUCCGUGCCAGCAGCCGCCGUAAAAC